AACGAGGAUCUACUGGAGGGCAAGUCUGGUGCCAGCAGCCGCGGUAAUUCCAGCUCCAGUGGCGUAUAUUAAUGCUGCUGCAGUUAAAAAGCUCGUAGUUGGAUCUAGGGCUCAGGCUAACGGUCCCUCGCAAGGGGUGCACUGUUUGUUCCUAGCCUCCCUCGCGUUGCGCCCGGUUCUCUUAGCUGAGUGCCGGGUGCGGCCGGAACGUUUACUUUGAAAAAAGGUUAGUGUUCAAAGCAGGCGCAACAGCCUGAACAGCAGAGCAUGGAAUAAUGGAAUAGGACCUCGGUUCUAUUGCGUUGGUUUUCGGAGUCCGAGGUAAUGAUUGAGAGGGACUGACGGGGGCAUUCGUAUUGCGGUGUGAGAGGUGAAAUUCUUGGAUCGCCGCAAGACGACCGACAGCGAAAGCAUUUGCCAAGAAUGUCUUCAUUAAUCAAGAACGAAAGUUAGAGGUUCGAAGGCGAUCAGAUACCGCCCUAGUUCUAACCAUAAACUAUGCCGACGGCGAUUCGCCGGCGUUACUCCAAUGACUCGGCUAGCAGCCCCCGGGAAACCAAAGUUUUUGGGUUCCGGGGGAAGUAUGGUUGCAAAGCUGAAACUUAAAGGAAUUGACGGAAGGGCACCACCAGGAGUGGAGCCUGCGGCUUAAUUUGACUCAACACGGGAAAACUCACCCGGCCCGGACACAGUAAGGAUUGACAGAUUGAGAGCUCUUUCUUGAUUCUGUGGGUGGUGGUGCAUGGCCGUUCUUAGUUGGUGGAGCGAUUUGUCUGGUUAAUUCCGAUAACGAACGAGACUCUGGCUUGCUAAAUAGUUGCGCCACCCGCCGCGGUGGGCGACAACUUCUUAGAGGGACUAGUGGCGUUUAGCCACGCGAGAUUGAGCAAUAACAGGUCUGUGAUGCCCUUAGAUGUUCGGGGCCGCACGCGCGCUACACUGAAGGAAUCAGCGUGUGUCUGCCCUUGGCCGGAAGGUCUGGGUAAUCCGUUGAACCUCUUUCGUGAUUGGGAUAGGGAAUUGUAAUUAUUUCCCUUGAACGAGGAAUUCCCAGUAAGCGCGAGUCAUCA
rnacentral:rRNA from 1 species